CAUGGCUGAUUAGAAGAUAGUGUCGUCUGCAUUCAAUGUGUUUUAAGUUUGUAAUCGCAGAGAAGAAGUUUAAAGGUUUAAUAACUUUAAUUAACAAUGAAAAAGGAACUAGUACUUUUUUGGAAACGUAAAUGGCUGCACGAAAAAUAGUAGAACAAAUCAUAUUACAAAACUGGUCGUCGUGCCAAGUCUGAUCACGUCUCUUGAUAGAAUCGCUGAAUACACAAUCCAAGGUGCUUAGCAGAUUAGAGGAGGCAGCCAUCCUAUUACCACAAGAUAUGCAAGAUUUUUUUGUGCUGGACCUGUUUUUAGCAACAAUCUCAGUAUAAUUGCUUGAUAAACAACAUCCCUUUUGAUUGGAGAAACUACCGAUGUCGUCCGAGUUAUGGAUAUUUUCAUCCCCUAUCUUUAAAUGUCCUCUUGGUUCACCCAUGUGGGUGUGUUCACAAGGAUCGCCUUGUUGCUAUUCCGCCUGGUGGAUUCAACUCUUCAGCUGGGAUGUGGCACUUGUGGAUGCCUGGCCGUAUUUCCCAGGCAUAGACGUCUGAACAUCUUAGAAAUAUCCACCCUCCAACUCAAUGAUGUUUAACAGGCAAUAAGACGGAGGUCUGCCGUUCUGCCCACAUCAGUGCGACCGGUGAGAGUCAAGUGACGACAUUUGAGUUGUUGCACAUUGUUUCCCUGUAAGGCAAUGACUACACGUUCAACGCGGAUUAUUCGUUUUGUCAUCGAACUUGACUCAUUCCAUCUUCUGGAUUGCUCAGGAAACCUGAUUGGCGUUAUCUGUGUAAUGACCGAGAAGAUGCGGACUACAUGAAUAUCAUUUCGGCGGCCAUUAUCAUUCGACUACCCAACCGGCUUCUACUACCCUGGUCUCAACACAGCACGGAGUUUUACCCUUAAGA